rnacentral:misc_RNA from 1 species
CCGAGUUUACAACUCCCAAACCCCCGUGAACAUACCACUUGUUGCCUCGGCGGAUCAGCCCGCUCCCGGUAAAACGGGACGGCCCGCCAGAGGACCCCUAAACUCUGUUUCUAUAUGUAACUUCUGAGUAAAACCAUAAAUAAAUCA